UACGUAGGUGGCAAGCGUUGUCCGGAUUUAUUGGGUUUAAAGGGUGCGUAGGUGGCCCUGUAAGUCAGUGGUGAAAUAUCUCAGCUUAACUGAGAGGGUGCCAUUGAUACUGCAGGGCUUGAGUACAGAUGAGGUAGGCGGAAUUGACGGUGUAGAGGUGAAAUUCGUAGAUAUCGGGAGGAACACCAGUGGCGAAGGCGGCUUUCUGGGCCUUACCUGACGCUGAGACGCGAAAGCGUGGGGAGCGAACCGG
rnacentral:rRNA from 1 species